CUAAAAGACGAAAACAAAAGAUCCUAUUGUGAAAACUAUACUUUUCAUUUCUUUUAUUUAAUAUACUUCCACAGUUGACGUCACCUAAACAACCACAUAACCAGGUAAGCCUACGUAUCAAACAUAAAUACAUGCUACGAUUCUUUCCAAAAUAAUGUGUUAUAGUUUAGUGUAUCAUCUUAACUAUCAUCAUGUAGCUCCGUACACAAACGUUAUAUGAGUUAACUUGAGUAUCGUAGAUGUGGGAAACCAAAACAGAAACAAAAAUGCCUUUGAUUCAGCCCUACAACCUUUUCUAGAAUUCCAGGUAUGAUGACAUAUUUACACCUAUAGUUGUGAAAUAAUUGAAUUACAAUGCUUUUUGAAAGACAUGGUGCAGAUCUUUAUAGCUUCACUCAUUCACUCGAUAUUUCAAUUUGUUGCAUCCUACUAUAAGCCUGAAUUGUUAUGAGAUAGACACCAUCUUUUUAUGUGUAAUUUGUUAUGUAUUGUAUACUUUAACUGAUGUAUAUUACAAUUUUUCAAGGCUCUAAUCUUUUUUCUUCUAAUUUGAUUAUAUAAGCAGCCAACCAACAAUGACUUUUGCAAUUACUAUUGGUUUAUGCUCACUCCCUUACUUUUAUAGAUGAUUAUGAAUGGAUCUAAUAAUUAUUUAUGAAAUCGUUUUAAUCUCAGCUCACUUUCAUCUUAUUUUAGGUUUAAGCACUUUAGUUGUUUACUGACUCGGAAGGAGGGAGGGAGGGUUGAUUCAAGAAAAAGGCUGAGGUUUAAAAAUUGGAAGUUUUCUGCAACAGGGUUGUUUAGUUGUAGGUGGUAGGCUGAGCAAUUAGAGUGCAUUAAAGAGGAAUUCUGAAUUUGAUGCCCUAUUAGUGAGGCGAGCGAAGCUCUUGUGAAAACGCAUUAAGUAGGUGGUGAUGCUUCAUGUGAGAUGCAACUUCUAGAAUCAAGGACCGAGAUGGAUGGAGAUGAUGGAAAAGGUUGGGAGACUGUUGAUUUUUUUAGAACGAAACUUUUAAAACUACUUUG